rnacentral:rRNA from 1 species
GUGUCAGCAGCCGCGGUAAUACGUAGGGGGCAAGCGUUGUCCGGAUUUAUUGGGCGUAAAGAGCGUGUAGGCGGCCAGACAGGUCCGUUGUGAAAACUCGAGGCUCAACCUCGAGAUGUCGAUGGAAACCGUCUGGCUAGAGUCCGGAAGAGGAGUGUGGAAUUCCUGGUGUAGCGGUGAAAUGCGCAGAUAUCAGGAAGAACACCUAUGGCGAAGGCAGCACUCUGGGACGGUACUGACGCUGAGACGCGAAAGCGUGGGGAGCGAACAGGAUUAGAUACCCUGGUAGUCC